rnacentral:rRNA from 1 species
UGGGGAAUAUUGCACAAUGGGCGCAAGCCUGAUGCAGCCAUGCCGCGUGUGUGAAGAAGGCCUUCGGGUUGUAAAGCACUUUCAGCGGGGAGGAAGGCGAUAAGGUUAAUAACCUCAUCGAUUGACGUUACCCGCAGAAGAAGCACCGGCUAACUCCGUGCCAGCAGCCGCGGUAAUACGGAGGGUGCAAGCGUUAAUCGGAAUUACUGGGCGUAAAGCGCACGCAGGCGGUCUGUCAAGUCGGAUGUGAAAUCCCCGGGCUCAACCUGGGAACUGCAUUCGAAACUGGCAGGCUAGAGUCUUGUAGAGGGGAGUAGAAUUCCAGGUGUAGCGGUGAAAUGCGUAGAGAUCUGGAGGAAUACCGGUGGCGAAGGCGGCCCCCUGGACAAAGACUGACGCUCAGGUGCGAAAGCGUGGGGAGCAAACAGG